CCCGGCGAUUAUGGCGGAGGGGCAACACCUGUUCCCAUACCGAACACAGAAGUUAAGCCCUCCAGCGCUGAUGGUACUGCGUGGGUGACUGCGUGGGAGAGUAAGUCGUUGCCGGGA
rnacentral:rRNA from 1 species